rnacentral:rRNA from 1 species
UACGUAGGGUGCAAGCGUUGUCCGGAAUUAUUGGGCGUAAAGAGCGUGUAGGCGGCCCGACAAGUCCGCUGUGAAAGUCUAGGGCUCAACCCUGGAAAGCCGGUGGAUACUGUCGGGCUAGAGUCCGGAAGGGGCGAGUGGAAUUCCUGGUGUAGCGGUGAAAUGCGCAGAUAUCAGGAGGAACACCAAUGGCGAAGGCAGCUCGCUGGGCCGUAACUGACGCUGAGGAGCGAAAGCGUGGGGAGCGAACAGG